rnacentral:lncRNA from 1 species
AACAUCGUGCAAAUGUUGUUGCCAAAACAAUGCAAAACUGAGUAGAUUUCAGCAGGGACAAAAGUCUGGAUAAAUGUCCAAAAAUAUCACUUGUAUUAGCUCGAUCUACUGCUGAAAUUGAAUUCUUCAGUAACUCGAAAGAGCAAAAUUACUGUGGCAAUAACAAGGCAGACGAAAUUUGAACAAAAGAGGGAAAUUAGAGCAAAUACGACCAUACAUACUCAGCGAAACAAUUUGGCUUCAGCACCUCUUUAAACCAGCGCAAAACUAAAUCAAGCACGACAAGAAUGAACUAAACUUUGACAUGGAACCCAAGUUAAAUCAGCUCAACACUUGGACAAGCGAGAUCUACGUCAGAUAAUGUUUCAUAACAAAUGUGAAUCACUAUAUUUCUGCCGUUUGUAACAUGUUCUGAUAAGUGCAACUAAUUGAGCAAUAGAGUGGUAGGAAACAUAACUAUCAAUACCCAGUUAAGAAGCAAAACUGAAAUUGAAGAAUAUAGCUCACAUUCUGUAAUCGCUCACGAGCUAAUCCUACCAUAACAAGAAAUAACAACAUAAAAACAAUUUCGGAGAACUCACAUUAAGAUGUAUACAGCCAAACCAAACCAAAAAUACGCGUAAAAAUGGCAAAAUGAUACACUACGACAAACAAUCACCAAGAAUCAAAUAGUUCCAACCCAGUUGAACUCGUAAUCUUGAUAUAGUUCUGAAUCAAAUGCCUAAAAUGGGCUACAAGAGAUAAAAAUAAAAACGAACCUGAAUCAGUAACAACCCGUUUAACUCUGUUUGAGCUUCGAAUACAAUGAAAGCUGGAAGCGAAAGAGUAGAAAUCAUAAGCUCAUACAGCAACAAACUCAACGACUCAAAAAGUAAAAAACCCAACUUGAACUUCAAUUUUAUCUUCUUAGAACUCAAAUCCGUAUUUAGAAAAAUGAGAAGAAGAAAUUGUAUCUAUGCUUCUCUUAAACUUCAAUGGCCUCGUCCAAGAAAAUCAACUCCGAAAAACACCAUUUCUCAUAGAAAACUUUUCACUUUUUUUUACUCUCCGAAAUUUUCAUCCCCUAUCACGAAAUUGGAUAGAAUCUAUUUUUGAAUAUCAAUCCUUGAUGAAUGUCGGGCUCAGAUUGAGUGAAAUCAAUCCAACACCUCACACUCAUCCAGCAUUUCCUCUUCCAGACCCUUACAAUCGCGUGUUUUUCUCUCAAAAUCGAGCGAGUGGGAGGAGGAGGAAUCUUGGCAUCAGAAAUCGUUAGCAACAGCAAGAGGAGAGAUAGAAGGACGUGUGGGUUAGAUAUUGAUGCCACUCGCCAUAGAUUUUGGGCUGAAAUGGGACUUGAGUGCGUGGGUUCUUCGAAGAAAAAGAACAGUGACGCGUUUGGGGCUUAGGGAUUUAGGACUCGUUCGCUUUCCGUGUGUUCAAUCGAUUAAAACAGGAAUGAGUCGGGUCGAGGGACGGGGCAUACGGGUUUU